UUACAACCGGUCGGAGCCACUUUGUGUGGUGACGGCGUGCCUAUUGAAUAAUGAGCCUACGAGUUACUAAUCACUGGCGAGGUUAAGUGCAUGAAUGCACGGAGCCGAAGCGAAAGCGAGUCUGAACAGGGCGGCUAGUCAGUGGUUGUAGACGCGAAACCUUGCGAUCUACCCUUGAGCAGGAUGAAGGUUGGGUAACACCAACUGGAGGUCCGCACGAAUAAGCGUUGAAAAGCUUCUCGAUGACUUGAGGGUAGGGGUGAAAGGCUAAUCAAGCUGGGAAAUAGCUCGUACUCCCCGAAAUGCCUUUAGGGGCAGCGUUGCAAGAGUCUACCGGAGGUAGAGCUACUGAUUGGAUGCGGGGGCUUCACCGCCUACCAAAUCCCGACAAACUCCGAAUGCCGGCAGUAUGAUUUGCAGCAGUGAGCCAGUGGGUGCUAAUGUCCAUUGACAAAAGAGGAACAACUCAGACCAGCAACUAAGGUCCCCAAGCAUAUGCUAAGUUAAACUAACGAUGUUUUGUUGCAUAGACAGCUAGGAUGUUAGCUUGGAAGCAGCUAUUCAUUCAAAGAGUGCGUAACAGCUCACUAGUCGAGCGACAGAGCGUGGAUAAUAAACGGGUAUCAAGCAUAUCACCGAAGUUCUGGACACGAAAGUGUGGUAGGGGAGCAUUCCAUUCAGCGUCGAAGCAGUGUCGUGAGACAUUGUGGAGCGUAUGGAAAAGCAAAUGUAGGCAUAAGUAACGACAAUGCGGGCGAGAAACCCGCACACCGCAAGACCAAGGUUUCCUGAUCAACGCUAAUCGGAUCAGGGUUAGUCGGGUCCUAAGGUUAAGCCGCUAGGCGAUAUCGAUGGACAAUCGGUUAAUAUUCCGAUACUGACAUACACCUCGAUGGAGGGACGAAGGAACGUAAGUGACGCGAACUGACGGAAUAGUUCGUUAAAGGCCGUAGGUAAAUCUUCUGAUUAAGAGUUAGGGGAUGCUGAAAGCUGACAGUACCGAGAGUCUUCGGACAAUCGGAUAGUUCACCCAAGUAGACUUCCGAGAAAAUCUUCUAAGUUAUAGUGUAUGUCACCCGUACCGUAAACCGACACAGGUGGUCGAGGAGAGUAUCCUAAGGUGCUCGAGUGAGUCACGGUUAAGGAACUAGGCAAAUUAACCCCGUAACUUCGGGACAAGGGGUCCCAUCCUCCGCGAGGGGCGCAGCGAAGAGGUCCAGGCGACUGUUUAUCAAAAACACAGGGCUCUGCAAAUUCGAAAGAAGAAGUAUAGGGCCUGACACCUGCCCGGUGCUGGAAGGUUAAGAGGGGAUGUCAUCGCAAGAGAAGCAUUGAAUCGAAGCCCCAGUAAACGGCGGCCGUAACUAUAACGGUCCUAAGGUAGCGAAAUUCCUUGUCGGGUAAGUUCCGACCUGCACGAAUGGUGUAACGAUCUGGACACUGUCUCAACCGUGAGCUCGGUGAAAUUGUAGUCCCGGUGAAGAUGCCGGGUACCCGCAACGGGACGAAAAGACCCCGUGAACCUUUACUGCAGCUUAACGCUGAAUUUGGGUACAUAAUGUGUAGGAUAGGCCGGAGACUGUGAGUCGGGUACGCCAGUAUUCGUGGAGUCGACGUUGAAAUACUGCCCUUUGUGUAUUUGAGUUCUAACCAUGCGAAUGCGCGGACACCGUUUGGUGGGUAGUUUGACUGGGGUGGUCGCCUCCAAAAGAGUAACGGAGGCUUCCCAAGGUGCCCUCAGUACGAAUGGUAACCGUACGAAGAGUGCAAUAGCAUAAGGGCGCUUGACUGUGAGACCAACAAGUCGACCAGGUGCGAAAGCAGGGUAUAGUGAUCCGGUGGUUCUGUGUGGACU
rnacentral:rRNA from 1 species